UACGAAGGGGGCUAGCGUUGUUCGGAUUUACUGGGCGUAAAGCGCACGUAGGCGGAUCGUUAAGUCGGGGGUGAAAUCCCGGGGCUCAACCUCGGAACUGCCUUUGAUACAGCAAGUCUUGAGUUCGAGAGAGGUGGGUGGAAUUCCUAGUGUAGAGGUGAAAUUCGUAGAUAUUAGGAAGAACACCGGUGGCGAAGGCGGGUCUCUGGGCCGUAACUGACGCUGAGGAGCGAAAGCGUGGGGAGCGAACAGG
rnacentral:rRNA from 1 species